GGAAUGUGGACAAAGGUGAUUCGUGUAUGUGACUUCAAUACCCAGCUUCCAGAAAUCUUUCUUACAAAAUAUUUGACCUUCCUUAUCUUUAUUCAGCAAAUGAAUGGAGAUACUGAACACAAUAUAAAGUACCUGCCAAUGAAUAAUUACCUGAAUGCUUGCCAACAGGAAUAUCUGCAUUGGAGCAAGGAAUACAUGUACUAUAGGAAGCUGCUAAGAUUUUCAGCUCAUUGAAAGGUGAUCAUGGAAAGAAAAUCUGGAGUCCUAUUGAUCUAGUAAUUUAUCAAGCUACCCAGACACAUAUUUGUGAACAGAGUCACACAUCUG
rnacentral:lncRNA from 1 species